rnacentral:rRNA from 1 species
UUCUCGCAUCGAUGAAGAACGCAGCGAAUUGCGAUACGUAAUAUGACUUGCAGACGUGAAUCAUUGAAUUUUUGAACGCACAUUGCGCCUUAAGGUAUUCCUCAAGGCAUGCGUGGAUGAGCGAUAUUUACUCUCAAACCUUUGGUUUGGUCUUGUAACCUAAAUAUCAAAUGGCUGUAGAAUAAGUUUUACACCAACUACUCCUUCCUCAUCUUCGUAAGACUACCCGCUGAACUUAAGCAUAUCAAUAAGCGGAGGAAAAGAAACCAACAGGGAUUGCCUCAGUAACGGCGAGUGAAGCGGCAAAAGCUCAAAUUUGAAAUCCUCCGGGAAUUGUAAUUUGAAGGUGGGGUUGAAUAGGUCUAGAUACUUUAAGUCCAUUGGAAAAUGGCGCCAUGGAGGGUGAUAGCCCCGUAAAAGUAUUCAAACCUUCUUUUCUUCCCCUCCUAAGAGUCGAGUUGUUUGGGAAUGCAGCUCUAAGUGGGUGGUAAAUUCCAUCUAAAGCUAAAUAUUGGCGAGAGACCGAUAGCGAACAAGUACAGUGAUGGAAAGAUGAAAAGCACUUUGAAAAGAGAGUGAAAAAGUACGUGAAAUUGUUGAAAGGGAAGGGCUUGCAAGCAGACACAACCUCGGUUGGGCCAGCAUCGGAGUGGGGGGAGACAAAAAAGGUUAGGAAUGUAGCUCCCUUUAGAGUAUUAUAUCCUAGCCCUAUAUCUCCAUCCCCUUCCGAGGCCUGCGAUCUCAAGGAUG